rnacentral:rRNA from 1 species
AUACGUAGGGGGCGAGCGUUGUCCGGAAUGAUUGGGCGUAAAGGGCGCGUAGGCGGCGCGGUAAGUCUGGAGUGAAAGUCCCGCAUUCAAUGUGGGGAUUGCUUUGGAUACUGCAGUGCUAGAGUGCGGAAGAGGUAAGUGGAAUUCCCAGUGUAGCGGUGAAAUGCGUAGAGAUUGGGAGGAACACCAGUGGCGAAGGCGACUUACUGGGCCGUAACUGACGCUGAGGCGCGAAAGCGUGGGGAGCGAACAGGAUUAGAUACCCUGGUAGUCCACGCGGUAAACGAUGAAUGCUAGGUGUUGCGGGUAUCGACCCCUGCAGUGCCGGAGUAAACACAAUAAGCAUUCCGCCUGGGGAGUACGGCCGCAAGGUUGAAACUCAAAUGAAUUGACGGGG